CGGCCGCGGGGACCGGCGUGGGAGCGGCGCCGACGCCGCAACAGAGUAAUGUCGGCUUUAGUGCUUCAGGUGGAAUUCGUCCUUUUCAGCUUCAAAACUGGAAACAGAAAGUUAGUUGGACAAAGAAAGCAGAAUUCAUACGCACAGCAGAAAAAUUAAAAAACCAAGUUAUUGUCAUAGAAAAAGACAAACACAGUCAUUUCUACAACCAAAGAGGCCACUUCAGAACUGAGUAUAGUUUGCUGGAAGAAUUGGAAAACAAACUGAUCAACAGCAGGAAGAUGGAAAUUGUUGAGAAGCUCAGAGAAAUGAUGGAAGAAAUUGAAAAUGCAAUCAAUACUUUUAAAGAAGAACAGAGACUAAUAUAUGAAGAGCUUAUUCAGGAGGAGAAAACAACCAAUAAUGAGCUGAGCGCCAUCUCCAGGAGGAUCGAGUCCUGGGCGCUGGGUAAUUCAGAAACAGAGAGAGCUUUCAGGGCCAUCUCCAGCAAGCUUCCUGUAGACAGAGUGACACCGAGUACGCUUCCAGAAGAAGUGAUAGAAUUUGAAAAAUUCCUUCAGCAAACAGGAGGGCGACAGGGGGGCUGGGAUGACUUGGACCACCAGAACUUUGUGAAAGUGAGGAACAAACAUAAGGGGAAGC
rnacentral:lncRNA from 1 species